rnacentral:rRNA from 1 species
CCUACGGGAGGCAGCAGUGGGGAAUUUUGGACAAUGGGCGCAAGCCUGAUCCAGCAAUGCCGCGUGCAGGAUGAAGGCCUUCGGGUUGUAAACUGCUUUUGUACGGAACGAAACGGUGAGCUCUAAUACAGUUUGCUAAUGACGGUACCGUAAGAAUAAGCACCGGCUAACUACGUGCCAGCAGCCGCGGUAAUACGUAGGGUGCGAGCGUUAAUCGGAAUUACUGGGCGUAAAGCGUGCGCAGGCGGUGAUGUAAGACAGAUGUGAAAUCCCCGGGCUCAACCUGGGACCUGCAUUUGUGACUGCAUCGCUAGAGUACGGUAGAGGGGGAUGGAAUUCCGCGUGUAGCAGUGAAAUGCGUAGAUAUGCGGAGGAACACCGAUGGCGAAGGCAAUCCCCUGGACCUGUACUGACGCUCAUGCACGAAAGCGUGGGGAGCAAACAGGAUUAGAUACCCUGGUAGUCCACGCCUAAACGAUGUCAACUGGUUGUUGGGUCUUCACUGACUCAGUAACGAAGCUAACGCGUGAAGUUGAACCGGCCUGGGGGUUAGGUUACGGUCCGCGAGGUUAGUUAACGUUACGAAGGAAGUUAGACGGCGNGAGACGNGCGACGGACGACGACGAGGGAGGAGG